rnacentral:rRNA from 1 species
UACGUAGGGUGCAAGCGUUGUCCGGAAUUACUGGGCGUAAAGCGCACGUAGGCGGCUUUGUAAGUUAGAGGUGAAAGCCUGGGGCUCAACCCCAGAAUUGCCUUUAAGACUGCAUCGCUUGAAUCCAGGAGAGGUGAGUGGAAUUCCGAGUGUAGAGGUGAAAUUCGUAGAUAUUCGGAAGAACACCAGUGGCGAAGGCGGCUCACUGGACUGGUAUUGACGCUGAGGUGCGAAAGCGUGGGGAGCAAACAGG